CACCCACUGUUUUAUACUGAAGUCGUCUUUGUUCCGCCCAUUUUGAAGACCAUGCAUAUUCAACAACUAAGAAGCAUUUUUGCAUUCGAGUGCUAAACCAACAAAAUUUGGUGAAACAGAUUCUUUGGUCCUAAUAAGGAACAGUGCAGUGGAAAUGAGAAUCUACUCAAGCCGUCUGGUUUAUCGUUCUACAUCGCCUAAUACCUGCCUAUAUGAAAAGGACUGUUAAGCAGGAUCAUAUAACAUUGUACCAAUGUAGCACAUUUUGUACGUUUUCCAUCGUAUAAGUUCAUUAAUGUGUCACAGUCUGACAAGUAUGUUCAUCUAUGUUGUUAAAUCUUAAGGAUAGAAAAAUACUGAUUAAAUUUUAUGUUUAAUUUUUCAA